UGUCUUCGGGGGCUUCGAUCAUAGUCACUCGGCCCUGUUGCCAUAGCGCAGCAUAUUAUGAUGGGAGCACAUGCCAGAGAACUAUGGCUGUCACAAUAAAUAAGAGAGAAAAGAAUGCAGGGUUCCUAUAUCCCCUUCAAGAGCAUGUCGUCACCUUUGACCUACUCCCUCCUACGGAACCUACUUUUAUUUUAUUUUUCUUGAGAUGAAGACUUUCUAUGAGGCCAAGCUAGCCUUGAACAUGCAGGUGGUGCUGCAUCUACGGAGUGCUGGAUUGUAGGCAUGUGAUGCUUCCUCAAUCGUCCAUCACCUCUCAAAUACGCCAGCGGCUGGAGGUCAAGCCUUUCACACUUGGGACUUUGGUAUAUCUGAGCUAUAGCAGUGCCCUCUCCACCAGAUAAGCACGAAAGUCAAGCCUCCUGACAUUCUCCCAGCCCCGGGAUGGCCUCCAGACCCCUAUGGUAAUGACCCAGCCAUGAAAAUGUACUCGUCUGGAAGCCAGAGUAUCGACUUGCACCAGGUGAAGCAAAACCAGAAUCCUGCAAGCCUUGUGGACUUGGAAAUCUACCAAAUCACUUCACUCGAUCAACCCAGUACUUGUAGGAAGUGGGCACCAGGAGAACCCCGUCAAUAUUCUGCACUCGUGUACCAUCCAGAGUGUCAGCCCCAGCCAUCCGCACUAUAAACCCAAUGAGGGAGCUGUUAUUGUCACCAUUUGAAGAGGAAUCUGAAGCACAGAAAGAUGAAGCCACGUGCUCAAAUCCUCAGACAGUUCUCUGAUGGUGCCAGGGAAGGCUUCAACCUUCAAAGGUGUACCCAUAGUGAUGCUCUGCCAGCCACCUCCUAACGGCUCCAUAUCCUCAAACAUGUAAAAAUAAGUGACUCUGGGCAAAGCAAAGACGGGUCCUGCCUUCUUCAGGAAAAUGGAGACAGUAUUGAGAGGUAACCUGAGGUGGCAUCAUGGAAGGCCGGGCACACUGAGGAAAAACACCAUUUGUUUAUAUACUCUUCCAACAGCCAGAUGUGUGAAGGAGGCCAGUCAGCCUCCCUGUUGUCCCGAUUUACCUGAAAGAGUUCACCAAAGAUCAUCUUGCCCAGUCC